rnacentral:rRNA from 1 species
GAUUAACGCUGGCGGCGUGCAUAACACAUGCAAGUCGAACGAUGAAACUUUAAUGAACCCUUCGGGGAGAAUUAAAGCGGAUUAGUGGCGAACGGGUGAGUAACGCGUGAGUAACCUGCCUUACACAAGGGGAUAGCCUUUGGAAGCGAAGAAUAAUACCCUAUAAAACCAUAAAAGCACAUGCAAUUAUGGUCAAAGUGAUAGCGGUGUAAGAUGGACUUGCGUCUGAUUAGCUAGUUGGUGAGAUAAAAGCCCACCAAGGCAACGAUCAGUAGCCGGCUUGAGAGAGUGUACGGCCACAUUGGGACUGGGACACGGCCCAGACUCCUACGGGAGGCAGCAGUGGGGAAUUUUGCACAAUGGGGGAAACCCUGAUGCAGCGACGCCGCGUGAUUUAGAAGGCCUUCGGGUUGUAAAAAUCUUUUGUAUAGGAAGAAAAUGACAGUACUAUACGAAUAAGGUCCGGCUAAUUACGUG